rnacentral:lncRNA from 1 species
CAGCCCCCAGGGCCCUUGUGAUGCUGACUGUGCUCUUAGGAUAUGAGAUGUCGCCCUGCUCUCUGCUUCAUUCCUUGCAAACUGUCCCAAGGUCACCCUGGAGCUUCACGCCAGGAGGAUCCGGCUCACCCCGCCUUCAACAAGUCCCACACGAAACAGUGGCGGGGGGUGGCCUUGUGACUCACAGUCGGAAGGACAACCACGCGAAACCAGAGAACCACCUGGAGGAGCGCUGAGGGCAGAGGAAACGGAUCCAAGUUCAACACGCACCUCGUUCUGCCUCCUGUGUGCUGGGAGCGCGUCCAGCCCGGGCUCCGACGGGGAAAUCGCACCAAGGGGCCAGCAACCGGUAACCGCCAGCGCAACUGGCUUUUCCUUGGCCCGUAAGCCAAUUAACGAUUCACUUAUUUACGCCUGUCCACCGUGAAUAAAAUAAUGCCAUCUACUGAGCGUCUGCUCCGGGCACCGUGC